rnacentral:rRNA from 1 species
CACGUAGGGCGCAAGCGUUGUCCGGAAUUAUUGGGCGUAAAGAGCUCGUAGGCGGUCUGUUGCGUCCGCUGUGAAAACUCGGGGCUUAACCCCGAGCCUGCAGCGGAUACGGGCAGACUAGAGGUAGGUAGGGGAGAAUGGAAUUCCCGGUGUAGCGGUGAAAUGCGCAGAUAUCGGGAGGAACACCAAUGGCGAAGGCAGCUCGCUGGGACGUGACUGACGCUGAGACGCGAAAGCGUGGGGAGCAAACAGG